rnacentral:rRNA from 1 species
UACGUAGGGUGCGAGCGUUGUCCGGAAUUAUUGGGCGUAAAGGGCUCGUAGGCGGUCUGUCGCGUCGGGAGUGAAAACUCAGGGCUUAACCCUGAGCCUGCUUCCGAUACGGGCAGACUAGAGGUAUGCAGGGGAGAACGGAAUUCCUGGUGUAGCGGUGGAAUGCGCAGAUAUCAGGAGGAACACCGGUGGCGAAGGCGGGUCUCUGGGCAGUAACUGACGCUGAGACGCGAAAGCGUGGGGAGCAAACAGG